UGAGGCUCGCUCGCAUCUUCUUCCUCCUUUG
rnacentral:sRNA from 1 species